UACGGAGGGUGCGAGCGUUGUCCGGAAUCACUGGGCGUAAAGGGCGCGUAGGCGGCGCGGGCAGUCAACGGUGAAAGCUCGGAGCUCAACUCCGAGUCGGCCGUCGAUACUCCCGUGCUUGAGCACUGUAGAGGCAGGUGGAAUUCCGGGGUGUAGCGGUGGAAUGCGCAGAUAUCAGGAGGAACACCAAUAGCGAAGGCAGCUCGCUGGGACGGUACUGACGCUGGAGACGCGAAAGCGUGGGGAGCGAACAGG
rnacentral:rRNA from 1 species